rnacentral:rRNA from 1 species
AGGUGUAGCAAUACAUGCUGACGAGCGGCGGACGGGUGAGUAACGCUUGGGAAUCUGCCUAUUAGUGGGGGACAACCCGGGGAAACUCGGGCUAAUACCGCAUACGCACUACGGUGGAAAGCGGGGGAUCGCAAGACCUCGCGCUAAUAGAUGAGCCCAAGCCGGAUUAGCUAGUUGGUAGGGUAACGGCCUACCAAGGCUACGAUCCGUAACUGGUCUGAGAGGACGACCAGUCACACCGGAACUGAGACACGGUCCGGACUCCUACGGGAGGCAGCAGUGGGGAAUAUUGGACAAUGGGGGAAACCCUGAUCCAGCGACGCCGCGUGGGUGAAGAAGGCCUGCGGGUUGUAAAGCCCUUUCGGUGGGGAAGAAAAGCCUCGUUCUAAUAAAACGGGGUCUUGACGUAACCCAUAGAAGAAGCACCGGCUAACUCUGUGCCAGCAGCCGCGGUAAUACAGAGGGUGCGAGCGUUAAUCGGAAUUACUGGGCGUAAAGCGCGCGUAGGCGGCUUUGCAAGUCGGGUGUGAAAUCCCCAGGCUUAACCUGGGAACUGCAUUCGAGACUGCAUUGCUAGAGUAUGGGAGAGGGAAGUGGAAUUUCAGGUGUAGCGGUGAAAUGCGUAGAUAUCUGAAGGAACAUCAGUGGCGAAAGCGACUUCCUGGACCAAUACUGACGCUCAUGUGCGAAA